rnacentral:rRNA from 1 species
GGGUACUACGAGCAUAAGCUUAAAACCCAAAGGACUUGGCGGUGCUUUAGACCCACCUAGAGGAGCCUGUUCUAGAACCAAUAACCCCCGUUCAACCUCACCCCUUCUUGUCCAUUCCGCCUAUAUACCGCCGUCGUCAGCAUACCCUGUGAAGGAAACAUAGUAAGCAAAAUUGGCAAUGCCCAAAACGCCAGGUCGAGGUGUAGCAUACGAAGGGGGAAGAAAUGGGCUACAUUUCCUCACUGAGGAAACACGAAUUGUGUAAUGAAACAACACAUGAAGGAGGAUUUAGCAGUAAGCAGAAAGCAGAGUGUUCUGCUGAACCUGGCCCUGAAGCGCGCACACACCGCCCGUCGCCCUCCCCUAUCCAAAACCACUUCUAACUAAAAAUCCACUAGGAUGACAGGUGAGGCAAGUCGUAACAUGGUAAGUGUACCGGAAGGUGCACUUGGAAUAAC